GAUGAACGCUGGCGGCGUGCCUAAUACAUGCAAGUCGAGCGAACGGACGAGAAGCUUGCUUCUCUGAUGUUAGCGGCGGACGGGUGAGUAACACGUGGAUAACCUACCUAUAAGACUUGGAUAACUUCGGGAAACCGGAGCUAAUACCGGAUAAUAUUUUGAACCGCAUGGUUCAAAAGUGAAAGACGGUCUUGCUGUCACUUAUAGAUGGAUCCGCGCUGCAUUAGCUAGUUGGUAAGGUAACGGCUUACCAAGGCAACGAUGCAUAGCCGACCUGAGAGGGUGAUCGGCCACACUGGAACUGAGACACGGUCCAGACUCCUACGGGAGGCAGCAGUAGGGACUCUUCCGCAAUGGGCGAAAGCCUGACGGAGCAACGCCGCGUGAGUGAUGAAGGUCUUCGGAUCGUAAAACUCUGUUAUUAGGGAAGAACAUAUGUGUAAGUAACUGUGCACAUAUUGACGGUACCUAAUCAGAAAGCCACGGCUAACUACGUG
rnacentral:rRNA from 1 species